rnacentral:rRNA from 1 species
GUGUCAGCCGCCGCGGUAAUACGGAGGGGGCUAGCGUUGUUCGGAAUUACUGGGCGUAAAGCGCGCGUAGGCGGUUUGCCAAGUCAGAGGUGAAAGCCCGGGGCUUAACCUCGGAAUUGCCUUUGAGACUGGCAGGCUUGAGUACGGGAGAGGUAAGUGGAAUUCCGAGUGUAGAGGUGAAAUUCGUAGAUAUUCGGAAGAACACCAGUGGCGAAGGCGGCUUACUGGACCGUUACUGACGCUGAGGCGCGAAAGCGUGGGGAGCAAACAGGAUUAGAUACCCUGGUAGUCCACGCCGUAAACUAUGGAAGCUAGCCGUCAGGUUGCAUGCAAUUUGGUGGCGCAGCUAACGCAUUAAGCUUCCCGCCUGGGGAGUACGGUCGCAAGAUUAAAACUUAAAUGAAUUGACGGGG